GAACCUUAUCUAAGUUGCCACGACCUUACUCAUUACCCUCAAGAAAGAUGAACAAUUUAAAGGGGGAAAAAAGGAAGUGAAAAAAAUGGCGGAUACGAGGCAGAACUAACCUGCAGCUUCCACUCGAAGGGACAGAGCAGAGUGUGGAGACCCACAACUGGAACUUUUUCUCCAAGAACUACCACAGGAACAUACCAAGAAAGCCAAGAGAAUCCACAGAACCUUUGGAGGAAGUGGUUUGUCACUGCAGGCUCUGUGGGACAGCUGAGGAACUGCCAGCGUCCUCUUUCCUGUGUUGGUCACAUCCUCAAAUGCCUUUGGGGCUGGAUGAACAGUCGGCUUGUGGGUGCCUUUUAAGUUGCCUUUUGGGUCAACAAUAACCCACCAACUUUGGAGCAACCAAAGCCAUAACACAGGAGACAGAAGGAAGAAAAGAUCUCUGGGGAAAUCUGCAGAUUAAUCAAGAAAAGUCAGAGAAAGGGACUCUUCAGUAGGUAGAGCUUAAGGACCACAAGUCCGCCUCUCCCAGCCUAGCAUGUUGAACACGGAACAGGGAAUAGCCAAAUAAGGUGUGAAAGCAGGUCCCAUUAGGUGCCCAUUUCCUGCUUCCACUGCUUCCACGUAAAACCACCCUUGUUUAGGGGUGAUAGGGAAGGUGGGUGGAGAAGAGAAUUAUUGUACAUAUACUUUGGUCAUCCAGGGUCACUUUCCUCCCCUCCAACUGAAGCUGCAGCAGCAGGGAGCUCAGGAACUUCAUUCUACCCAAUUCUGUGCAUGUGCAGGAGGAAUAGUCACUGUCUUCAGUGUCUUCAGCCCCAUCCCUGAGCCACAAAGGAUGAGACUGGUACAAUUUGUCAGUUUCGGACAGUAGCAGAAAAGCCACCCAGGGUGUGGGCUAUGUCAUUGGCAGGGGCAGAAUGGGCCUUGAUAAAAAGCACUUGUGGAUUCUGGUGUGUUCAAAUCUCAGCUCCAUCACGUCCCAGCAAUAAGACCUUGGGCCAAUCAGCAAACCACAUUUGGCCUAUCCUAGAAUGGAUAUAAUCCUUGUGUGUAGCUACCUCAAAGCACUAUUAUAAGGAAUAAAUGAGAUAAGUUUAAAAUGCUACAGCAGUAACAACUCAGUUCAUUGUAACUAUUGUCACUAUUAAGAAAAAGUACGGGGCUCUCUGCUGAGACAGCAGUGGUCUCUGUGCUCACCCUCAUGCAUAUGUCCUAGUGUGUUCCUUAAAUCACACAAGCCUACUCUUCUGAUUGUCUGAAACUUCAGGAUGACAAUUUCACUUUAUGAGCACAGAACAUAUUUACACAAUGCUGCUUCACUCAUCAAUUAAUUAGGUUCUUGUCCCAACAAGAUUGCAAGGUCCUCCUCAGAGAAGGUCAUGAGUCUUGCCUCUGCUGGACCAGUCCCUCCCUGCACAGCACAUAACUGAACUUAUAGCACUUUCCACACUGUAUUCUAAUGGUCUGUUUUCAUGUCUGUUUUCCCACUGACUUGCCAUCUCUUUA
ensembl:lncRNA LINC02934 long intergenic non-protein coding RNA 2934